rnacentral:piRNA from 1 species
UCACUUGAUGUCAUAUCUUCCUGCUGGAGGU